GAAGAUUUUUUUUUAAAUGUCAGUGUAAGUAAAAUAAUUUACGUGGGAAUACCUAGCAUAUAGAAAAUCACAACACUUCUCCCUCACUUAGAUUAUACCCCCUCUCUUUCCACCUUCUGUCACCUUCAGUGAUACAACUAACAUGCUAAGGCACCAUUCAGUUGCAAAGUGGUUAUAUUUAUGCAAUAAAAAUAAAUGCAAGGCAGAGGAGAGCCACAUUACUCAAGAGUUUUUAGUCUGCUUUGUCCUGGCUUGAGCACGCUGAGAUGAGGUGAAUUCAGCACUCCAACCCUCCCAGGCAGUGGAAGCCUCGAGAGAAGGCAGCAGAGGAUCCAAGAGAGCAAGUCUUCAAGACUGACCACUGGGUUUUAAGCUUGCUCUUGACUUUCAGGAAAGGAGAGGUUUUGUGCCCUGGAUUAGGCUGCCUUUCUGCAAAGGUGGGCUCAAAAAUUCUGACCAGACUAUGAACCAUCCUUGAUUAAACUUGAUAAAUCAUUUGGCAACCUUGAAUUUCCAAGGACUGUUAAAGGGCACAAAGCAAAUUUAAUAAAAAUCUUAAGAAAUGGGGUGACCUUGGGUGAUCUAUUUAUAUAAGAUUAGGAAAUAUAAUGGCUUCAGGUACUAACGGUUUCACAGUAUUGACCUAUCCAU
rnacentral:lncRNA from 1 species